AAAGAGGAAUUCUAGGCCAAGACUUGAAUCGGCAGAACUAAGAAAUGGUGCCCUUUCAUAAGUCUAGAUUCCUAAGUAAAUGUAUAACCUUGAAGGAUGGGCCUUAGGGCGAUGUUCCCUUCUUGAGUGAAAUGAUAGACUUAGAGAUGGAUGGAGUCGGAACGGCAUGAGAAUCCUUAUCUAAGAAAGUUAAAUGAGCUAUCC
rnacentral:lncRNA from 1 species